rnacentral:lncRNA from 1 species
UUGGCAAUUCAGGUGCUUUCGGCUUCUUUGAGCUCACUAGCACUGCUGUUGCUCCAGAUUCCGCAGCUGGUGGUUUCUUGGGAGGCGGGUUUUUCUCGAUGAACUUUCUCAACCCAGUUUCACCACCAGGAAAUCCCCCGGUAAGCCCCAUCAACUCCUUUUCAAAAGCAGCUUCUUGAGCACUGUCAAUUGCAGCAAUUGCCGAGCCUUCUGAUUGUUCUUCCCCCUCUGCUUUCUCUGUCUCAUCACCAACAGCUGCUGGUGCUUGUUCUUCGACAUUUCUUGUAAGCUCUUUCUCGACGCCUCGCUCUCCAUUUAGGAGCCCUCUGCCUCCCAAGAUUUCGAACAGAUUAAACUUGGCAUAUGUUCUUAGGUGGUGGGGGGAUGGCCUUCUUUGAACUGUGAAACAAGGCUUGGGGGCUAGAUUAGAGUGGUCAUUUCUUCCCAGGAAAUUGGAUUUGAGAAGAGGGUUUUGAAAGCUAGGGAGGCUGAUGUUGGAAGCCAUUGUUUGGUUGACAAUUGCAGGCUCUGAGAGACGGAAAGAAGUUGUGGCCACAAAGAGCUUUUGUUGAACAGUGUCCCAUGAUCCUAUCGUCUCAACAUAUAUUGAUGUAUCCAUGUUUGUCCUCUCUAUCAUCAAUACAUGUUGGGUAACCCUUUGAUAUACCCAGGUCCAAUCCAAGCCAGUCCAUUUAUAAGUGG